UACGGAGGAUCCAAGCGUUAUCCGGAAUCAUUGGGUUUAAAGGGUCCGUAGGCGGUUUGGUAAGUCAGUGGUGAAAGCCCAUCGCUCAACGGUGGAACGGCCAUUGAUACUGCCAGACUUGAAUUAUUAGGAAGUAACUAGAAUAUGGUAGUGUAGCGGUGAAAUGCUUAGAGAUUACAUGGAAUACCAAUUGCGAAGGCAGGUUACUACUAAUGGAUUGACGCUGAUGGAACGAAAGCGUGGGUAGCGAACAGG
rnacentral:rRNA from 1 species